rnacentral:rRNA from 1 species
AUUGAACGCUGGCGGCAGGCCUAACACAUGCAAGUCGAGCGGAUGAAGGGAGCUUGCUCCUGGAUUCAGCGGCGGACGGGUGAGUAAUGCCUAGGAAUCUGCCUGGUAGUGGGGGAUAACGUCCGGAAACGGGCGCUAAUACCGCAUACGUCCUGAGGGAGAAAGUGGGGGAGCUUCGGACCUCACGCUAUCAGAUGAGCCUAGGUCGGAUUAGCUAGUUGGUGGGGUAAAGGCCUACCAAGGCGACGAUCCGUAACUGGUCUGAGAGGAUGAUCAGUCACACUGGAACUGAGAAACGGUCCAGACUCCUACGGGAGGCAGCAGUGGGGAAUAUUGGACAAUGGGCGAAAGCCUGAUCCAGCCAUGCCGCGUGUGUGAAGAAGGUCUUCGGAUUGUAAAGCACUUUAAGUUGGGAGGAAGGGCAGUAAGUUAAUACCUUGCUGUUUUGACGUUACCAACAGAAUAAGCACCGGCUAACUUCGUG